GAUGAACGCUGGCGGCGUGCCUAAUACAUGCAAGUCGAACGGCAGCACGGGGGCAACCCUGGUGGCGAGUGGCGAACGGGUGAGUAAUACCUAGGAACAUGUCCAGUAAUGGGGGAUAACGCAGCGAAAGCUGUGCUAAUACCGCAUACGCCCUACGGGGGAAAGCGGGGGAUUCGCAAGAACCUCGCGUUAUUGGAGUGGCCUAGGCCUGAUUAGCUAGUUGGUGAGGUAAAGGCUCACCAAGGCGACGAUCAGUAGCUGGUCUGAGAGGAUGAUCAGCCACACUGGAACUGAGACACGGUCCAGACUCCUACGGGAGGCUG
rnacentral:rRNA from 1 species